AGGUUAAGUAAAUAAGGGCGCACGGUGGAUGCCUUGGCACUAGGAGCCGAUGAAGGACGGGACUAACACCGAUAUGCUUUGGGGAGCUGUACGUAAGCUAUGAUCCAGAGAUUUCCGAAUGGGGGAACCCAACAUCUUUAAUAGGAUGUUACGAUUGUGUGAAUACAUAGCACAUUCGAGGUAGACGCAGAGAACUGAAACAUCUAAGUACCUGCAGGAAGAGAAAGAAAAUUCGAUUCCCUAAGUAGCGGCGAGCGAAACGGGAAAAGCCCAAACCAACAAGCUUGCUUGUUGGGGUUGUAGGACUCCAAUAUGGUCGUUCUUUCAGAUAGUCGAAUGACUUGGAAAAGUCAGUCAAAGAGGGUAAAAACCCCGUAGACGAAAUGUGGAAGACACCUAGGAGGAUCCUGAGUACGGCGGAACACGAGAAAUUCCGUCGGAAUCCGGGAGGACCAUCUCCCAAGGCUAAAUACUCCCUAGUGACCGAUAGUGAACCAGUACCGUGAGGGAAAGGUGAAAAGCACCCCGGAAGGGGAGUGAAAUAGAACCUGAAACCGUGUGCCUACAACAAGUCAAAGCCCGUUAAUGGGUGAUGGCGUGCCUUUUGUAGAAUGAACCGGCGAGUUACGAUUGCAUGCGAGGUUAAGUUGAAGAGACGGAGCCGCAGCGAAAGCGAGUCUGAAUAGGGCGUUUGAGUAUGUAGUCGUAGACCCGAAACCAUGUGAUCUACCCAUGUCCAGGUUGAAGGUGCGGUAAAACGCACUGGAGGACCGAACCCACGUACGUUGAAAAGUGCGGGGAUGAGGUGUGGGUAGCGGAGAAAUUCCAAACGAACUUGGAGAUAGCUGGUUCUCUCCGAAAUAGCUUUAGGGCUAGCCUCGGAAUUGAGAAUGAUGGAGGUAGAGCACUGUUUGGACUAGGGGCCCAUCUCGGGUUACCGAAUUCAGAUAAACUCCGAAUGCCAUUCAUUCAUAUCCGGGAGUCAGACUGUGAGUGAUAAGAUCCAUAGUCGAAAGGGAAACAGCCCAGACCACCAGCUAAGGUCCCAAAAUAUAUGUUAAGUGGAAAAGGAUGUGGGGUUGCACAGACAACUAGGAUGUUGGCUUAGAAGCAGCCACCAUUUAAAGAGUGCGUAAUAGCUCACUAGUCGAGUGACCCUGCGCCGAAAAUGUACCGGGGCUAAACAUAUUACCGAAGCUGUGGAGUACACCUUUAGGUGUAUUGGUAGGAGAGCGUUCUAAGGGCGUCGAAGGCAGAUCGUGAGGACUGCUGGAGCGCUUAGAAGUGAGAAUGCCGGUAUGAGUAGCGAAAGACAGGUGAGAAUCCUGUCCACCGAAUGACUAAGGUUUCCUGGGGAAGGCUCGUCCGCCCAGGGUUAGUCGGGACCUAAGCCGAGGCCGAUAGGCGUAGGCGAUGGAUAACAGGUUGAUAUUCCUGUACCCGUUGUUUUUGUUUGAGCAAUGGAGGGACGCAGGAGGCUAAGGAAUGCAGACGAUCGGAAAUGUCUGUCCAAGCAGUAAGUCUGAAGAGGAGUCAAAUGCUUCUUUUCUUAAGGACAAGCUGUGAUGGGGAGGGAAAUAAUAGUACCGAAGUUCCU
rnacentral:rRNA from 1 species